rnacentral:rRNA from 1 species
CGCAUCUGUGCAUGCAGCAUAUCAAUAAGCGGAGGAAAAGAAACUAACAAGGAUUCCCCUAGUAACGGCGAGUGAAGCGGGAAGAGCUCAAAUUUGAAAUCUUAAAGGGUUUCCCUUUACGAAUUGUAGUUUAAAGAAGUGUUUUCUGUUGAGGUUUUGGUAAAAGUUCUUUGGAAUAGGACAUCAUAGAGGGUGAGAAUCCCGUAUUUGACCUUUACUUUCAACUUUGUGAUACACUUUCAAAGAGUCGGAUUGUUUGGGAAUGCAGUCCAAAAUGGGUGGUAAAUUUCAUCUAAAGCUAAAUAUUGGCGAGAGACCGAUAGCGAACAAGUACCGUGAGGGAAAGAUGAAAAGAACUUUGAAAAGAGAGUUAAACAGUACGUGAAAUUGUCAAAAGGGAAGCGUUUGACUACCAGUGUUGUUUUUCUGAAAAUCAAUUAAAGAACUGUUUAUGCUAAGCUGUUUAGACUUUAUCAGCUAUCUGUUUAGUUUUGAGCUUUUCUUUAAUGCACUUUUCAGUUAACAAGUCAACAUCAAUUUCUUUUGCUGUAAAAAAGCUUGAGGUAAGGUGGCUUGAGAUUCGUCUUAAGUGUUUAUAGCCUCUUGCCUAUGCAGUCGGAGAGAUUGAGGUCUGCAGCGUAGAUCCUUCGGGGCUAAAUGCAUUUGUGCUAAGUUAUAGCAUUUUAUAGACAACUUGUUGACUAUGAUUUGUCUUGUAGCUUACUCGCUUAUGUUAUUUUACCUACGCUUAGGAUGUUGAGUCGUAGAGCACGCAG